GGAAUGUAGCUCAGUGAUAGAACUCUUUCCUAGCACAUGUGAGGCCCUGGGUUCAAUCCCCAGCACCA
rnacentral:tRNA from 1 species